GGCCCGUUGGAGAAGCGGCUUAACUCAUAUCCCUUUCAAGGAUACAUUCAUGGGUUCGAAUCCCGUACGGGUCACCA
rnacentral:tRNA from 1 species